rnacentral:lncRNA from 1 species
ACCUCCUCUCUCUCCCCGGCCUAGCCCCCGAGUCGUUAGCCCGCCGGAAGAGGAGAAAACUCGCCGGAGACGCCGGAAGCUUUUUUGCCAGAAAUCCCACCUCCGGCCACCAUAGGUCGGAAUCUUUGGCUCAUCUUGUAGCCCUCAUCAAGGUGAGUAUUCCCUCAAAAGGAAUUAGUCUAUUUCGUUGUUGUUAUGGAGAAAUAUAUAAUUGAAGUUUUUAGGGAUUUAUGGAAGUUUUGAUUCAUUGGCCCUAGUUAGCCUUAGAAAUGGACUAAGUGCUAGUUAUGAAUGUUGUUGAGCAUGAUGAGAGGAAUAUUCUGUGAAAAUUUGAGAAGCAUUGGAGGUCGCCGGAAAAUGGCUGCCGGCCGCCGCCACCGGCGGGCCAGCCGCCGCCGCCGCCCCUUAAGGGCAGUUUUUCAUGCUUUUUGGGUUUGUUUUAAUGAGAGGAGUUUAAUGAAGUAUAGUUUGGAAUUUUUGGAGGAGAUUUGAUAAGGUUUAGGAUUUAUCUAUGAUUAAGGAUUUAGGCGGUUAUUCGAAUAGAAAUCCGGCAGUUGGUUUAGCAGGUUUUAAAGUCUAAAAAGGUUAAAUUAUGGCUUUCGGUAAGUGCGGAGUAAUGUGAACCUUAUUAGGUAAAAUGUGGAGAAGUUGGGCAAGAGAAAUGAAAUUAUAGGCUUCCUUUUUAUUUCGGGAAUUUUAUUAAAGUUUUGUCCUGGUUUGGAGGCUUAAUGAUUAUUUAUUGUUCAGGACGUGAGGAGGAUCAUUUGGAGGAAGCCUCGGGCCGUCGGCAAGCAUAGCCUAGCACGGUGAGUGGACCUUUGAUUUUAAUAUCAUGCAUGCGCUAAAGUUAUUUAAUUUCAAAGGCAUUUGGAGAUAUAAUAAUUUGUUGGAUUAUCGAGUUCCACUUAUUUUUUUUUCCGGAACUCGUCUGCUAAUUUUAGUUGACUACGUGGGACGUGUCAAGUGUUUAUAUUAUUUCCAUGUACAGUUGGGAACUGUACUGUGCGCUAUGAGUUUUUUUUUAAUUUAAUUUGGGGAAGUGUGGAUCUUUGUAUUUAAUAUUGUAUUUCACCAUAAAAGGGUUGAUAUAUAGAUUAUUGCUAGCUAACCUUAUUAGCGGUUCUCAUCAUAUGUGAGUAGAGCGCUUAGCGUGGGACGCUAUUAUAGCCUGGGAGGCAACCGAACGGUACAUAUAUAUAUAAUAUUUAUUGUUAGCUAGCCAUUAUUUAGCGGUCCUCAUCAUAUGAGAGUUGAGCGCUUAGCGUAUGACGCUAUUAUAACUUUUUAAGCGGUCCUCAUCAUAUGUGAGUAGAGCGCUUAGCGUGGGACGCUAUUAUAGCCUGGGAGGCUCAUUGUUAUGGUGAAACAUUUUCCCUAUUUUUAUUGAUUUAUUGGGAACCAAUGGGAUUGGUUCAUUAGUUUUGUCUAUAAUUAUUUUCGGAAAGAUUUCCAAGAAUGGCAUGCAUAAUAUAAAUAUUUUUCUCAAUGGAAAAUAUGGGAAAAGCGUUAAAUUGAUUUCAAUGCUCUAUCAUUAAGUCCGUAUUUUUAUUAUUUAUUUUGUCCACUCACUCUAACGUUUUAAAUGCUUUCCCUUGGGCCUUUCGUUUUAAAUGCCCAGUAUGUAGAGUUCUGUUCGGCGAGGGUAGGAGGCGAGUCAUAUUUCCCACCUCAUCCAGUUUUCUCUCAUAGGUUACUAGUUAACCUACCUAUGUAUUUUCUUCUUUCCUAGUAGUUGCUCUGAUAACCUUGGGAUGUUUUAAGUGUUGUUGUUGUUGUUGUUGUUAAUGUUGCGAGUUAAGAGCUUAUGACUCCACCUAUGAGUGUUGAAAAAGGUUUAUUUGGCAUGUUAUAUGAGGGAUUAAAUUCAUGAAAUUAUUUCGAUUUAUUAUGUUGGUUGAGGUGGUGGAUGUUUAUUUGGGGGAGCGGAUGGCUCCAGAAGACGUGGAUUGAAUUGUUUUAGACGUGUUUGGGUUUUGGUGAUUUUUUUCUUCUAGGUAGGGUUACUCAUUUUCAAGGGAAGUUAUGCCAAAAUUUUGGUAGAAUUUCCCUUCAGGUGGGUCCCGCAGGGUUUAUUCCGGAUUUCAAGGGGAAAUCCGGGGUAGGUCUUGACAGUUGGUAUCAGAGCAUUAGGUUAUUCGAUUCCUUCCUCAUUCUAAUACUACCUCAUAUACUUGGUCAUAUUUAGUGUCUAUAGAGUGAUUGUCUGACCGCGGCGGAUCCGUUAGCAUUUUAUGUUUUGGAUACUAUGUGUUGAUUAGGUUUGUGAGGUAGUUGUUCUUGUCUUCUUAUGGACAGUAUAGUGUCAUAAUUGUCUACAUCUUCAGGACUAUGUCUCUGUACACCGACCUUUUAAGUGAUCAUCCUGCUUUGAGAAAUGAAAAGGUGUUUAGAUUCUGUCUUUUCCAAGGAUUAUGCAGUUUCUUGGUGAAAUUAGUUAUGAAAUAAGAGACUCCAUAUGGGUUUAAGUGUUGCCCUGUUUUGAAGUAAAUUGUGGAAAAGUAUUGCUUGAGCUAGUAAAUCGUGGACGUUAUUUGAGGCGUUGCGUGAGGCUGUUAAGAAUUUUUUUGGAUUUGAUGUGUUAAGGUUGGUUUCUGGGUUAGUUGAAGUUGGUUGAGGCUUUCAUCAUAAUGACCCCAGGAUUAUUUUCCUUGGGUUGUUGGCUUUUCAAUAGCCAAUGGACAUAGCAUUGUGACAUAUUUAUUCAUGUGUCAUAGUAAGAAUUUAAGAAAUUGAAUGGUGUUACUAAAUGUUUCGGAUUUUAAGCAAGCUUUAGCAUUGAGUGGCAUCUGUCGGUUAUAGUAUUUUAACCGUGGGGCCAUUAUGGAUUCCUCCGGAAUUCUAUGUGCUAAAGUUUGAUUUCGGAAUUUGUUAGAGUGUUUUGGAAAGACGGUAAAUGCAAAUGACUUUGAAACGUAAUGCUAGACUGGAAGCGAGAUGGUUAUGGUGGCUUCGGCUUUACGACAACAUAGCGUGAAUUUAAUAUGUGUUGUCAUGUGUAUUCUAAGAUAGUUGCGUGGAGUUGGUGGAAGUGGCAGCGGUGGAAUAAAGCCCAAUAGAGUGUAAUUUAGGGUGUCAAGCUUAUUUAGCUCAUGUGGUGGAUACUAGAAAGGGAGAUAGAUUUUACAAUUGAGCUACUUCCUGGAACGGCUCCUAUUUCUCAAGCGCCUUAUAGGAUGGCACCUGCAAAAUUAAAAGAGUUAAAAACUCAAUUGCAGGAGUUAUCUCCCCCCCUUAAAAAAAAUUUCGUCCUCGAAAUUUCAAACUGAAUGAGCUAAGGCUAACGAUCAUUGAUCGACAAUAUACUACACUUUGUUUCGUUAAGAAACUCAAUGGCUCGACUCUGCCUAUCCAAACGCGGCAUCGUUACAAUUAAAACACCGGUGACUCUGGUUCACCAAUCUCUCGCUUGACUGAGUAAAGCUUCUUUCAACGGAACUAAAUCUUUCGCUGAACCAUAAUUGUAUGCACUUAAGCAAAUUCAAAAUGCCUGCUCCAGAGCACGAGUACCCGUAGGUAUGCACAUGCUCAUAGAGGUCACAAUUAAGACCCGCUAAUUGAACGUAUUUAAGGAUGCAUACAUUGCAUAAAUUGCAACAAUCACUUCUAAUACCGAGAUACUUCGCGAAGCCAAAGCUCACACAAUACCACAAGACAACCCUUCUUCGCCUAAGCGAUUAUUCCAACAAGAGUUUAACCUCAAUCGCCGGAAUAAAAUUAUAUAGUGAUCAAUAACUACUUCACUUAGGUCUCUCCACCAAAACUAUGACAUUACCAUUUGUGCAUACAACGAGCAACUUAUGGGAAUUCAAGUUCUCUCUUGAUUAUGUUAUCCCCAUUAAUCUCUUUACCACUAACCAGAAAAUGAUCUGAAGCAUGACUAUCAUGUGGAAACGGGAUAUUCCUCCUUGCUUUCCAUAAACAAAAUUGACUAAUAAUGCCCACGACAAAAUAGUACAGUCAAUUCAGGCUACCUGACUUAACGUUUGAAAAUCACAUUCCUUAAGCUUUAGCAGAAUCUACAACCCCAGCCAUGCUACUUAUUCGGGUUCAACCGCGGCCCUAAAUUCAAUAGUUAAAACCACACAGCUUACUCUAGCUGUUUCAUGAGAAAGAUUCUAGAUGCCAAAAUCUUUGACUGAACAGACACACUUCUCUUCUUACUUCCUCAUCAAUUAAUCUGACUGCAAAACAAGAUCCUCAAAUCAUUUUUGGUCAAAACUCUUGUACACGUUUGGCGCUUCGGUUUCGAAACCCAAAGGCUUCUGACCAAUAUAUGGUCAACUAGGAAAAUUUACACCCACUACAUUUUUUUUUACCACAUUUUUACCAUCUCCAAAAAUUACUCUUUUAAAUCAUAACUUUUUCAUGCUAAUUCCGAUUUUAACACAUAGCAUGUCUACGAACUCGUAAUAACGUCCUCUACGACUUUUAUGAAGAAAGUUUUCCCAAAUUCCAAACACAAGAAAAAGUCAACUCUAGGGUCCUUAAGUGAUAAACGGUUACUUAACACGGUAAAAGACCAAAAUAAUACCAAAGUAAAUAACCGUAAAAUAACUUAAGAACCGGGGUGUGACAACCUUCACCCUCAAUCGAUAAGCAGAGACCUCCCACCACCACCUAGCCUACAAGCAGCCCCCUACUUCGCUGCAGCACAACAACAGCGGCGUCCAAAGCUUCCUCUCGCCGGAAGUAACUUCCUUGCCGGAAAUUUGAGUUCAGGUCUCCUCCAACACAGCAGCAGAAACACCCCUUGUCUCCAUAUAACCUAGUCUUGGCUCUCUGGUGAUCGAUGGCCCAGAUUAAAAGUUAUACUCUAAUUUCAGAAAAUUAAUUUUCUUUUACCAAACCUUCGAUAAAACGUAGAAAAUAACUAACGCCUCGUACCCAAUUUUUAUCUAUAAUUAAGGAUUUAGGCGGUUAUUCAAAUGGAAAUCCGGCAGUUGGUUUAGCAGGUUUUAAAGUCUAAAAAGGUUAAAUUAUGGCUUUCGGUAAGUGCGGAGUAAUGUGAACCUUAUUAGGUAAAAUGUGGAGAAGUUGGGCAAGAGAAAUGAAAUUAUAGGCUUCCUUUUUAUUUCGGGAAUUUUAUUAAAGUUUUGUCCUGGUUUGGAGGCUUAAUGAUUAUUUAUUGUUCAGGACGUGAGGAGGAUCAUUUGGAGGAACCCUCGGGCCGUCGGCAAGCAUAGCCUACCAUGGUGAGUGGACCUUUGAUUUUAAUAUCAUGCAUGCGCUAAAGUUAUUUAAUUUCAAAGGCAUUUGGAGAUAUAAUAAUUUGUUGGAUUAUCGAGUUCCACUUAUUUUUUUUUCCGGUAACUCUCUUGCUAAUUUUAGNNNNNNNNNNNNNNNNNNNNCUCAUCAUAUGUGAGUAGAGCGCUUAGCGUGGGACGCUAUUAUAGCCUGGGAGGCUCAUUGUUAUGGUGAAACAUUUUCCCUAUUUUUAUUGAUUUAUUGGGAACCAAUGGGAUUGGUUCAUUAGUUUUGUCUAUAAUUAUUUUCGGAAAGAUUUCCAAGAAUGGCAUGCAUAAAAUAAAUAUUUUUCUCAAUGGAAAAUAUGGGAAAAGCGUUAAAUUGAUUUCAAUGCUCUAUCAUUAAGUCUGUAUUUUUAUUAUUUAUUUUGUCCACUCACUCUAACGUUUUAAAUGCUUUCCCCUGGGCCUUUCGUUUUAAAUGCCCAGUCUGCAGAGUUCUGUUCGGCGAGGGUAGGAGGCGAGUCAUAUUUCCCACCUCAUCCAGUUUUCUCUCAUAGGUUACUAGUUAACCUACCUAUGUAUUUUCUUCUUUCCUAGUAGUUGCUCUGAUAACCUUGGGAUGUUUUAAGUGUUGUUGUUGUUGUUGUUGUUAAUGUUGCGAGUUAAGAGCUUAUGACUCCACCUAUGAGUGUUGAAAAAGGUUUAUUUGGCAUGUUAUAUGAGGGAUUAAAUUCAUGAAAUUAUUUCGAUUUAUUAUGUUGGUUGAGGUGGUGGAUAUUUAUUUGGGGGAACGGAUGGCUCCAGAAGACAUGGAUUGAAUUGUUUUAGAAGUGUUUGGGUUUUGGUGAUUUUUUUCUUCUAGGUAGGGUUACUCAUUUUCAAGGGAAGUUAUGCCAAAAUUUUAGUAGAAUUUCCCUUGAGGUGGGUCCCGCAGGGUUUAUUCCGGAUUUCAAGGGGAAAUCCGGGGUAGGUCCUGACAAGAACAUUGUGGUUGUCUCAAUAGAAUAUGUAAAGCCUAAAUGAAAUUUGUAGGAGCAGCAAAAUUCCCCCUACUUUUCAAUCUUACAAGUUAGUCUUUAAAAUAACCCUAGCUUUCACCACACAACGGAGAAAACACUAAGAGUUGUCUAAAUAUGGAGGUUUGUGGUCAACCAUUAAUCGACCAUCUUAAUUACACGAAAACACGCUAAUCUGCAAUAUCUUUACUUAUUUUUUAGCGUUUGUCGACAAUCGUAGCCUUGUAGUGUUAUUGUAUAUGAACUCAUGUAAGAAGUUGGUGUCAAUUAUAUCCCGGUGGAUUGGCUCCCCACAGAGAAACCUAAGUGUAAUUAGGGUUGACCGCAUCGAUCGGCACCCAUAUAAUACCAAAAAUUGAUGACGUUUCUACCACAAUCAUGCUUCAAUAUCGUGAACAUGUCUAUACGGUUCGAUUUUCAAAAUUUCAUUUCCUCAAUAGUGUCUCUCUAGAUAAACACACUUUUAUAUAAGAUAUACUACACAUGUUAUGUCAUAUUAUGUGCAACAUAAUAAACAUGUUAUACCUCAUUAGUAGAUUGAUUGUGAUCUAGAUGUUUAGGAUUAAGAUCAUGAAAAUCGACCGUUGGAUAUAAUUAUGAUAGUGAAGUAUAGUAGUGUAACAAAAUUCACAAAUUUUCGGUAACGUUUGGGUAUCGAUCGGUCAACCAUAAAUUCAACAAUAUUAAUUUUACGUCAUACAUCAGUAUAGAAAACAAUUGUUGUGGCACUACGAUAGGAAUUUUGGCUUUAAAUAUUAGGGCUUUUUAAGGUUUAAGGUAUUUUAGGGGUUAGAGGUUACAAUACAUACAACAUAAUAUCGAAAACAAUUGUGUGACAUAUUUAAAAAUUAUACCUUCACACAACAUUUUCUUAGUUCAUUGUUGUGGGAUGAAGAACUUAAAAUAGUAGUGUCAAAUGUAAGAGAGGGACUUCAUGACACAAAAUUACAUUAUAAAACCAAAAUUGAAAAGUCGUUGUGUGACUGCUGAAAAUACUAUACUCCCACACAACAGGUUUGAGUGUUCCGUUGUUACAUCAAAACCACCAAGAUAUCUUUCACAAAAAAUUUAGGUUUUGAGAGGAUGUAAGAGCCAAUUUGAAAACGAAAAAGUGCGUAGCUUGACAUGAGAGAUAUAUCGUACAACAUAUAUAUAAAAAGUAUUGUAUGAUAGUUUAAAUUUUAUACCUUCACACAACAUUUAUUUGUUUCACUGUUGUGUAAGGAACCCCAGUUCUAAGUCAAACCAGAGUGGGGUUAGAAGCAAAACGGGCCUCAUUUUAUCUUCAUUCACACAACAAAAUAUUGUCCAAAGUGUUGUACUGGUUUAAGGAAAAAAAAAUCUAGAAUGAUCUCAGACUAUCCACACAACGCCUGACAAUUUUUUGAAUGUUGUAUGAAGCAUUUUUGAAAUUUGUACAACCUGGCUAUUCCACCCCGUUGUGUGAAAAGUGUCGUUUGUUGCACUUAUUGGCGUAGUGAGGGCUAGCAGCACCUCCCCCUCUUUUCUAGACAUCGGCGUGGCUUUUUCUACCAUUGUCGUGACCCAUAUUAUUUUCCCACACUAGGAAACAAUCUCAUGUGUGUAGGCCAAUACGUUUAUCUUAUUAGCGUAUAUGUAAUUCCCGUUUGCAAUUGUAUGAUCAAAAUCAAGCCUCAUCGGUAAUUCCAAGAGAGUAAAAUAAGGUGAUGAUGAUCUAGAGAACAUAAACCAACUUGGAGGACCUAGAAAACUUGAUGAUGAUCGAAUCUGCUAAAGAUUAUGGAUCAUGAUGCCACAAAAUAUCAUCGACAAUAUGUAGUCAAAUAAGGUGGUAAGUAAUCCAUUUAACUAAUAACUCAACAAGUAGAGUUAUAUGAACGUUUCAAAAAAUGCUCCAUGAGUGCAUUCCACAGUACUUUGUGGUCAUUACUUUUUGCACAGAUUACCGUUAAAGGCUGUUGUCGAUGUGGCACCUCAAAACUUUGAGCGCAAGAGAUAUGUAAUUUCGGCAUCUAGGCUUGAUAAUCUUGGGGUCAAAAUAUAUUGUUUAAUUCUUUCCAAAGAAAGGUUCCACAAAUACCUAGCGCAGUGUCGUCUUAGGCAUCGAGUACGUCAAAACUCAAAGGAGCAGAAUAGUACAUUGCUCUUGCAUACAAAACCAAGCAGUGAUAAGACUCGAUAGAAGUCACAAAUGAUGUUUUUUAAUGGGUUGUCCUACGGAUUGUUCACACACAAUCCGGAAAAGCCACGAAUUGAUCAAACACAAUUCAGAAAAAAGCCUCGGAUUGAUCAAACACAAUCCGGAGAAAUAUUGGGGUUGAUCACACACAACCCGGACAAGGAAACAAGAGUAAUUAAACAUACUCUUGACUCGCGGAUAAAAUUUCAGGAUUUUGGUACCUGCACGCAUAAAAUCCCAAGCAUAGAAUGAAGAUGGAGAAGGGAGGAAAAUACUUUAUCCUCCCCGAGUUAUUGAACUUGAAAAAAUUUAGGGUUUCAAAACAUACCUUUCGAAACUUCAAACAUUUGAAGAAGUCAAAAAUUAUAGUCGGAGGAAACCAAGAAUUUUCGGUGAGCGGCGGCCAAGGGAUUAGCAACCGGUGAUGUCAGACGGCGGUCGGGAAAACGGGCGGCGGUAGGACAAAAGAGCCGAAAAACGCUUUUUAGGGUUCCGAAAAACAAAUGGUGGGCUAUUAACUCUAGGGUUAGAACACAAUGCAUGACAACGUGAUCAAGUAUAAACAGUAGACAAAGAGAUCUAGUAAGAGAAUAGAGAAUCAUCAUCUUAUUCAUUAACAGGAGCCCUUUAUAUAAGGAAUUACAAAGUACCAAUAUGAUAAUGAUAAGGAAUACAAUCAUAUUCUAACUACAUAUCCUGAUGCCAUAAGACCAAGACACACAUAUGAAAUAUCCUAAAACAAAAUUACCAAAAUAUCAGAAUUCUUAGAUAGUUUACAUUUACAAUUUCUUUUCUUUUUCUAGGUCUACCACAUAUGGUAUUUAUGCAUUAAUGCUCAAUUAACUUUAAAUUAUUCUUUACAUAUACGUGUACAUACGAAAUAAAGAGAGAGCUCGAGCUUGAUGAACAAUUCAGUCUGUUAUACUUCAAGAACAAUAAGUUAUGAAGAAAUUCAACAACUAACAAACAUAAUGAAUACAAAAACAAAAUACUCACAGAUAUGUAUCAUGUAUGUAACUGAUAUAUAAUGUUACCUAUGCUUAUAAUAUUGUUGGUUUAAACAACAUUGAACAUAGGAGCUGUAAUACCCCGGAAAUUUAAUAUUAGUUUCUAUUUUUAUUUUGGAAAUUAUCUAAGUAGGAGUCGUGCGGAUUUGUAGUUUAGUGAGUGAACUGGAAGUAGUCGAGUUUUUAUUUCCUUGAAAAUGCUUUUUCUUGAAGGGUCAAGAGUUGACUUUUUAGUCUGUUGGGUUUCUCGAGAAACUUCCUUCACGGAAGUUGUAGAGCACGACAAUACGAGUUCGUAGACACGUGGCACGCGUAAAAUGGACUUCGUACGAGGAAGUUAUGGUAAGCGGAAUUUCGUGACUUUAAGGGAAUUUUGGGGUUAAAUAAGAAAAGUGUUAGGUUUCCUUUUCAUUUUUUUUUUCCGGUAACCAUUUCUCCCUCUUCUCUUUCUCUCCCGCUCCUCACCUUCAGUACCUAAGUUUCCCAACUGACCCGACCCGGAUUUUUCGGCCGACUCAGACGGUGGCACCGAUCAAGUUUUCUUCCUCUCCUUGGCGUGAUCUUCCCUGUGUAGGUGGGUGAGGACGACUCAAGAGGGAUUGUGAGAAUCGAGCGUUGCAGCGGAGGGUGGUGAACCCGACUUCGACCAGAGGGCGUUCCGGCCGUGUGCGGCGGCGACGCAGCUUGGAACCAGUCGGGAUAGACGCUCCUUGGCGUCCUGGUUCGUUUGCUGGUAGUCUUCUAGCGCGGCUCACGGUGUAGAGUUGCGGUGAAGGAUUUCCAACCUUCCGGCCGGUUUUCCGGCGUGCUCAGACCGAUUGGGCGGGUACUCCAAGUAUGAAAGAUGCUUAGUUUCACUUGUUUGUCGUUUUGGGCUGCUUGGAGUGUCAAUAGAAUGAGGUUUGGGGUGGCGCGUGGAAGCGCGUCCGGGCAACGUGAAUGGGUUAGUUGCUAUGUUAGCUAGUAUGUGUUGCUGUGAGUGACUGCUUUACGGAUUAGAUUCGGUUUUCCCUUAUUAAUCUUUUGGAAAUUAAGGAGAUUGUUGUUGUAGAUAUGACAUGGUGUGUGUCAAUUUUUCUAUGAUCUUGAGAGGUUUCGGGGAAAGCUUGUUCUCAAGGGACAAGUCUUUGGGUUAAAUGAGGUCAAGGUCCAAGAGUGAAAUGUCAUAGUCGCAUCUAGUAAGUGAUAAUCACUUGUUUUGCUGGUCACUAAGUUGAUUUGUGCUAUCUAGGUGUUGGACAAGUUGGUGUUGUGCUUGUUUUUGAGUUUCUUUUAUGAAGACGCAACGGAAUUUUUAGGUGAGUAACAUCUCACCAAGGUCCACUUUCGGACCAAUUAUUUUAUAAUUAUUAUGAUGUGAUUGUGAUGUUGAUUUUGAAAAUGAUUAUGAUGAUGAUUGUGAUUGUUAUGAUGAUGAUGAGGUUAAUGAUAAUGAUGAUAAUGUUGAUGGAAAUGUUGAUGAUAUGAUGAUUAUGAUGCAAUUUUUUUAUAUUGUGAGUAAAUCUCACAUGGAUUCUUAAGGAACCGAGUUUAUUUUUAUAAUUUCAUUAUUGUUAGUUGUGAAAUUGUCCUUAACGGAAAAUGAUUUUUGUUUUAAAAAUAAAUGAGCUUGAUCGUCAACGGCUCAUGGGUAAGUGAAAAUAUGUUUUCUGGUAAAAUAAAAUCUUUCAAAAGGACUUUCUAUCAUGUGAUAUUGUGAUGUUGAAAUAUGGUUGAUAUAUUAUUCUAGUGGGAAUAUUUAUGUCUUCAUUUAUAUAAAUAUAUCUAGGCGGAAAGAUAUAAUUAAUGAAAUGCUCUUGUGUUGUCGUCGAUGAUAUAUUUUAUAUUGUGAAUUGUUGUUUAAAUAGUCAAACCGGGUUCCAAGCCUUUAAUCGGGUGAUUGGUUACGGUUAUGAUUAUAUUAUUAAUUUGUGAUUUGAUAAGUGUUAUGAUGGGAGUAUAAUUGAAUGCGUGCCUUAGGGUGGUUCUGUGCAUUAGUUGUGUAUGUGUAUGCCUUAGUGGUGAUUUUUAGUUUAGGAGCCUUCGUGGUGGACCGGGAACCAAGCCUUGGCCGGGUGAUUGGUAACGGCCAGUAUAGAGCUCUAGUCUGUCAGUUGGUACUUCAUGGGGGAUGACUAAGUGUUGACGAACCCAUGAGUACGCAUUGUUGGUCACUUAUGGGGGAUGACUAAGUGUUGGCGAACUCAUAAGUAAGAGUAGAGAAAUGAUUGUAUGAUGUUUUAUAUGUUGUCUUUUAAAAUUCCUUGUUUUAAGUAUUUCCUGAACUAUGCCUUUUUACAGGAUUUCAUUUUGAUUUGUGUGAUUGUGAAUUGUUGCGUUUUCUUUUAAUUAUUGUUUCAUUUAUGAUUUUGAGUGAUUUUGAGUUAUUGUGUUUUCUUAAUUGUUUCGUUGAAUUCUCUUGCUUUUAGGUGAUUCCUGAACUAAGUUAUUAAUACAGGAAUUACUAAUUUUAAUUAGGGGAAAUGCCCAUUUAGUACUAAUUCAAACCCCUUAUUUCCCAUUCCAAUGAUAAUCUUUUGCAUUAGCCCAUUCCAAUAUAAGGUAACCAUUUUUAUGCCCAAAUGCACAAAUCUUUACUAAAACCUUAACAAACCAUAUUAUUUUAAGACUAUUUUGCCCCCACCUCUUCAACAUGAAAAGACUUGGCCGAAACCUCGGACUCCGGUCCCCGGCCGCUAGACACCGGACUUUGGACUCCGGUCACCGACCGCCGGAUUCCGGUCACCGGAAUUUCCCCGACCGCCGGAUUCUGGUUACCGGAUUUUCCCCGACCGCCGGAUUUCGGUCACCGGAUUUUUCCCUGUAACUAGUUACUGACCCCCAAUAAUCAGUUACUGACCAGUUAAUGACCCAUAAUAACUAGUUACUAACCCCCAGUAACCAGUUAUUGAUUAAUUACUAACACCCAGUAACCAGUUACUGACCCCCAGUAAUCAGUUACUGACCCCCAAUAACUUUUAGUUUUCAGUUACUGACACCCAGUAAUCACUUAGUUUUCAGUUACUGACACCCAGUAAUCACUUAGUUUUCAGUUACUAACCCUUAAUAAUCUUGGUUACUGACCCCCAAUAAUCGGUUACUGACCCCUAAUAAUCUUGGUUACUGACACCCAAUAACCAGUUACUGACCCCCAAUAACUUGGUUACUGACCCCCAAUAAUCAACUUAUUUCAGCUUAUUGUAAUAGAAAAGAAGAAAUACUAGAACAUAAUCGAGUUAUUGACCGCCAAUAAUCAAUCAAAACUACAACACGAAUAAUCAAACUACCUAUAUGCUACAAAAAUACAACUACACCUACCGCAGAGCCAUGCACCCUCACACAUCGGAUCUACUCCCUUACCAUGCACCUUCCCUCACCGUACACCUCCCUCAUCAAAACUGCUUCACCCCCUUCACCACGCACCCGACGCCUUCGAUCUGGCCAUGGAGGCAGAGGCGGAGGCUGCCUAUGAACCUGCUCGUUGGCCUAGUCGAGCAGGCGGGACGAGUACAGGCGGGACGUCCUCGAUGUAGCCGGAGGGAGCUUCGCUACAUCGUCACCAGAGAAGGACAACACCGGAGAUGACGACGACGUUUGGCGAGUGGCACAACGUUUUGGAUCUGCUGCCGGGGUCGGAUGAGGGGGCUCGGAGAAGGAGGGCGUUGACGAGCGGCGUUGAUUUCCGACAGCGGUGAAGGAGGUUGCAGAGGAGAGAGCAGAGGUAGGUUUAGAGAUUUGAUACUCGUUGCUCGUCAUCACAGCAUCGGCGCAGGUGUUGUUGAAGCAUAAGCUGCGUCGGCGUCGGUGGCGUCAUUGCGUCGUCCAGGAGAGAGAGAGAGAGAGAGAGAGAGAGAGAGAGAGAGAGAGAGAGAGAG